rnacentral:lncRNA from 1 species
UUGUUGCUCUUGUUGCAAUAUACUAAGUAGAUCUUGUAGAUAUAGUUGAAAGUCAUCCAUGUGUCUAUCGAAUUGUUGAUCGAAUUGCUCAAAUAUUUGAUCAAUCGGUCCAAGUGCUCCAUAUAGUGAAUGAAUCUUUGAUCUCAAGGCUCUGAUACCAACUGAUACAGGGAGAAAAUAAUAAAUAAUAAAAUUAAAAAGGUUGAAAGAUUAUACCCUCUCUGGGCCUGCAAGGAAGAUCUUUUCACAAUAUCAAACUCUUUACUCAAUCACUAAUCACUCUCUAAAAAGAAUGGAGUUCUUCCUUUUAAAUACAAACUAAAAUAAAUAAUAAAUAAAAAUAAAAUAAAAAUAGAAAACUAAACUCUAUCCCUCCCUUAUCUCUUAAAAACAAGUCUAAC